GAUGAACGCUGGCGGCGUGCUUAACACAUGCAAGUCGAACGGAAAGGCUCCUGCUUGCAGGGGUACUCGAGUGGCGAACGGGUGAGUAACACGUGGGUGAUCUGCCCUGCACUUCGGGAUAAGCCUGGGAAACUGGGUCUAAUACCGGAUAGGACGAUGGUUUGGAUGCCAUUGUGGAAAGUUUUUCGGUGUGGGAUGAGCUCGCGGCCUAUCCGCUUGUUGGUGGGGUAAUGGCCUACCAAGGCGUCGACGGGUAGCCGGCCUGAGAGGGUGUACGGCCACAUUGGGCCUGAGAUACGGACCAGACUCCUACGGGAGGCAGCGGUCGGGAAUAUUGCAGAAUGGGCGCAAGCCUGAUGCAGCGACGCCGCGUGGGGGAUGACGGCCUUCGGGUUGUAAACUCCUUUCGCUAGGGCCGAAGCGAAAGUGACGGUACCUGGAGAAGAAGCACCGGCUAACUACGUG
rnacentral:rRNA from 1 species